CCUACGGUGGGCAGCAGUGGGGAAUAUUGCACAAUGGGGGAAACCCUGAUGCAGCGACGCCGCGUGAGUGAAGAAGUAUUUCGGUAUGUAAAGCUCUGUCAGCAGGGAAGAAAAUGACGGUACCUGACCAAGAAGCCCCGGCUAACUACGUGCCAGCAGCCGCGGUAAUACGUAGGGGGCAAGCGUUAUCCGGAUUUACUGGGUGUAAAGGGAGCGUAGACGGCAGGGCAAGUCUGGAGUGAAAGGCGGGGGCUCAACCGCGGAACGGCUUUGGAAACUGUGGAACUGGAGUGCUGGAGAGGCAAGCGGAAUUCCUAGUGUAGCGGUGAAAUGCGUAGAUAUUAGGAGGAACACCAGUGGCGAAGGCGGCUUGCUGGACAGUAACUGACGUUGAGGCUCGAAAGCGUGGGGAGCAAACAGGAUUAGAUACCCGUGUAGUC
rnacentral:rRNA from 1 species